rnacentral:rRNA from 1 species
UAAUACGAGGGCCCCAAGCGUUAUCCGGAUUUAUUGGGCGUAAAGGGUCCGCAGGCUGUUUGGUGCAUCUCCUGUUAAAUCUACAGGCUUAACCUGUAGGCCGCGGGAGAGAUGACUAAACUAGAGGCCGGGAAAGGUAAGCGGAAUUGCUGGUGUAGGAGUUAAAUCCGUUAAUAUCAGCAGGAACACCAAAUGCGAAGGCAGCUUACUGGAACGUGCCUGACGCUCAGGGACGAAAGCGUGGGGAGCGAAUGGGAUUAGAUACCCCAGUAGUCCACGCCGUAAACGAUGGAUGCUAAGCAUUGGCAGUAUCGACCCUGCCAGUGCUGCUUAACUAAGCUAACGCCUUAAGCAUCCCGCCUGGGGAGUACGAGCGCAAGCUUA